GGUAGUCGUACGCGGUACCCGUAGUUUUGCACGUGGAGCGAACUGAUUAGAAGCUUGCUUCUAUGACGUUAGCGGCGGACGGGUGAGUAACACGUGGGCAACCUGCCUGUAAGACUGGGAUAACUUCGGGAAACCGAAGCUAAUACCGGAUAGGAUCUUCUCCUUCAUGGGAGAUGAUUGAAAGAUGGUUUCGGCUAUCACUUACAGAUGGGCCCGCGGUGCAUUAGCUAGUUGGUGAGGUAACGGCUCACCAAGGCAACGAUGCAUAGCCGACCUGAGAGGGUGAUCGGCCACACUGGGACUGAGACACGGCCCAGACUCCUACGGGAGGCAGCAGUAGGGAAUCUUCCGCAAUGGACGAAAGUCUGACGGAGCAACGCCGCGUGAGUGAUGAAGGCUUUCGGGUCGUAAAACUCUGUUGUUAGGGAAGAACAAGUACGAGAGUAACUGCUCGUACCUUGACGGUACCUAACCAGAAAGCCACGGCUAACUACGUGCCAGCAGCCGCGGUAAUACGUAGGUGGCAAGCGUUAUCCGGAAUUAUUGGGCGUAAAGCGCGCGCAGGCGGUUUCUUAAGUCUGAUGUGAAAGCCACGGCUCAACCGUGCAGGGUCAUUUGGAAACUGGGGAACUUGAGUGCAAA
rnacentral:rRNA from 1 species